rnacentral:rRNA from 1 species
AUUGAACGCUGGCGGCACGCCUAACACAUGCAAGUCGAGCGGCAGCGCGAUAUGUAGCAAUACAUAUUGGCGGCGAGCGGCGGACGGGUGAGGAACACGUAGGAACCUACCCUCGAGUGGGGGAUAACCAAGGGAAACUUUGGCUAAUACCGCAUGAUUUCGAGAGAGCAAAGCUGCCGCAAGGUGGCGCUCGAGGAGGGGCCUGCGUCCGAUUAGCUGGUUGGUGAAGUAAGAGCUCACCAAGGCGAUGAUCGGUAACUGGUCUGAGAGGACGACCCGUCACACGGGGACUGAGACACGGCCCAGACGCCUAAGGGAGGCAGCAGUGGGGAAUAUUGGACAAUGGGGGCAACCCUGAUCCAGCGAUGCCGCGUGAGGGAAGAAGGCCUUCGGGUCGUAAAGCUCUUUAGGUUGGGAAGAAGAGUGAUGGAGGAAAUGCUAUCACUUUGACGGUACCGACAGAAUAAGCACCGGCAAACUCUGUGCCAGCAGCCGCCGUAAAAC